AGUUCGUAUCGCGACGUAUAUAGGCGUACGGCGUUCCCUUGGGAGGUUACACUACGCGUAUAAUACGCGGCCCUGUUCGAUUCUCGCGAUGGGCCGCGGUGUGGCAUGCAGACCACUGGUGGGAGCAAUUCGUAGCCGUCUCAGGCACGGACCAUCGAUCCCGGAGCCACGUAACUCGAACUUGCCGGUCGGUAUCUCAUUUGUUUCGUCGUUCGAUACUAUCGAACAGAGACGAUUGUCACAGUCAGAUCUUUGUCUUUAUCGACUUAAGCAAUAGUAGUAACAAUAUUGAAACUGUCGUGUCAUACCGUGCGACUGAUAAUAACCACGUGCCCGUUACGUAGUUCGAUUUUCAAAAUAAAUCCCUGGAAUCUUGGGACGAGGAUAACACGAGUACGAAAAUUAAGGGAAAUUAAAUAAACUACCGACGACGAUAAUGCGUCGACGACAAUUCUCUGUAAAUAAACGUACGACGCCCGCCUCUGAAUACGUAUGCACGCGGCGGCAAUAUUACCGAGGAAUUUCAAGAAUCCAACGUCGAACGACUCGCGGCGGUAACGUCGAUUACAUCGAAGACAACGGCGUCAGAUAGGGUUUCGUUUUUGAGGUUAUCGGACGCGAUACCGGAGUUACGUUGCGCGCCGAUUAUCCGUGGAGCACGAGGCAACUAUGUAAGCUCUACGAUGGCAUCAGUUAUAUUAUUAAACAUUUCGAUGAUCAAAAGUGAAAAAACUGCCCUAACAAAAAAUCUAAGAAAUGUUAUAAUAUUUUUUCAUCGUGAGGACUAAAAAUUCCUUGGAGUUGCCGGUAGAUUGAAAAAUCAGGUGGAGUGCUAAGAGUUAAGACAUAGGAAAAUAUCAAUAUUGUCGGUCUACUUAGUACUACCCUCGAAACCUUAGUAUCCAUUAAAUCGAAGCUAAGUUCAACAGAUUGUAGUAAGGCUUUCAAUGAUAUUUAGAAAAUGGAAACUGAACUUUGUUAUACGAGAUACAAUGUAAAGUUCGUAUCCAUGAUGCAGUGAGAUAAUUCGAAGGUUUGGUAAGGUAUCACUUGCGUAAGAAACGAAUCCGAGAAGGAAAUUUGGAAAUGAAAAUAUAGAGUAGAGAGUUACGUUGAGUCAUCGAUGAAUAAUUGAAUUCAGGGUUCUGUCCAGGUAAGGUUUAACCAGUUCAGUGUCUGAUACACGUCACCGUUAAAACCCGAAAUAAUACUAAUUUUUUGAAUAAUUCUUUAUUUCGAUACACCUUCUUAUUAAAAUAUACAAACUCUUAUAUUAGGCAUAUUAGAUUGCUAGAUCACGCUAUAAACAUGCGAUAACUGCGUUGAUACACAACUUGUUAGCAGCAGAAGAUUUAUUCGAAGCAAAUAUUCUCAGGUUACCACUUACCUGUCUCUACUUUCGCCGAGCAUUACACUUUCAACCGCAUUGAAUGUAAAUCUAUUUCAUCGGCAAUUACUGGGAGAUAAAAUAUUUACUGUCUCGGAAACCGUCGAUUUAAGUGUAACCGAGGAAAAUACUGUCAGACCUGUUAUUGCUAUAGUGAUUUGAAACGUGCGCCGCUCGACGAUCUCUCGCCGCUUUAAAUAAUACACGCGACAAUGAAGAUUGAAGAAGAGUAAACCGUUGCAAGGUCACUCUCGGAAUCUAGAUUUCGUUCCAGUUACACACGAUUGGAUACUGCGUAACCGAUUACGUUCAACGGCUGAUUAUGCGAGUGACUUAAAGCUGAAAUUACAGCAGUCGUAUGGAAAGAAUGCAGCUAACGAUGCGUUUUUUUGCCGGCCGGAUUUACCAAUUACGAAACAUUUUUAUAACGCUGAAAUCCGCAGACGGACUAGAAAGUGUAAGUGUCAGCGAUUAUGUAAACGGCGGCUUGACAGCGGACAACUAAAUCUUAAUUGUGAGAAGCAUAGUCGUGCCUGUGAAGUACAUAAACAUAAUAUUUCCAAGGAAGUGAUUCGACUCUUUUAAUUGUUUAGAAACUUUAGAGCUUUGGUCACGUCGAGUGUAGUAAUAUACAAUUGCCAGUCGAGUCUAUAAAGGAAUGUUAAUUGUAAGAAACAUAGUUGUGCGUGUGAAGUAUAUAAAUAUAAUAUUUCCAAGGAAGUGAUUCGACUCUUUUAAUUGUAUAGAAACAUUAGAGCUUUGUUCACAUCGAGUGUAGUACACAAUUGUCAAUAGAGGCUAUAAAGGAAGGAAAAAAAAUAUUCGACUUCAUUAUAACACAACCAGAUAUUUUUUUAUGACUUAUAUAAUUCACAAUAUAACCAAAUAAGUAUAUUAAUUAAUCCUUUAAACAUAAUUUACGUCGAAUGAACGAUAAACUGUAAAAAAUAAAUGGCGAUAGUAUUAUACAUGAAAGAGACAAUAUUCUAUUGUAAUUGAAGUGAAAUAUUCGAUGACUUAUAAUAUUAUAAAAGGAAAAUAUUAGAAAAGGCAAGAGAAAGUUUACACAAUUAUUUUGUUGUGACAAUAAUGUGGAAACAAAUUAUUUACUGUUAGAAAAAGACCUUGGAAAUAUUUCAAAAGGAAUUUCGUGGCACCCGAAAGUCUAACUCGAUCCCCGUCGAAAGUAACCGCACAGUAUCCCGUUCGAAUGUUUCACGUUACCGAGAAAAUGUACUUUUUGGGCGGCGUCCGCUUUAAAGCGGCUACGAACUUGACGUGCGCGCGAGUACCACGCGUGUAACGCGACCGAUUCGAAAAUAGGCGUCUUAUUUUCUGCACGGCUCGGGAGAAAAUAAACGCGAUCUGUGGCAACUUCGAGUUAUUCUUGAUCUGGUACACCAUUACGAGCAUCGUGUCACGCUUAAUCGACUCGCUCAGGCCCCGUCUGAAAAGAAGUUAUUGGGGCUAAUGUUCGUCGAUUAGGUUACAUUAAGACGUCGAUAUUUCGGCGCUCCUGAACGUUAGACGCAACAGAGCACGAUAAGUCGCCGACUCGUUAUCGCCGAUGGGGCUUUAACCUUUGAUUCCCGAUUCUGUCGCGGGCCGGAGUAAUUUAAAUUCCUUUUAGAACACUCGGUGGAUUCCUCUUUGAGCCUGAAUUAAAUUAAACGUCGUUCGGGCGGCGACUGUGUGCGCCAUCGGGCCUACGUGACUCCGUCAGGUCGCGCGGCUGCCGUGGGUGGAUGCACGUCGAUAAAUAUUCAGUGAUAUUCGCGUGUUUUCGUUUUCAUUCUCGUAUUUUUAGACGUCGCGAUAAAGCGUAAUGAAUAUUCGAUGAAUUCUCCGAGACAACUUGAAGAAGCACGGUGCUCUAUUUUAAUCUCUCGCUUCGAAACACGUGCACGAACAAUUUAUGCGAUACCGUCGAAACCGCUUUCUUUUGCUUCUGUAUGGACACGUUAAAUUAGCCUCUAUCAUUGUACAUAUAACGCACUUUCUCUGUUCGAAGGAAACAAUCGUGUAAUGU